rnacentral:rRNA from 1 species
CAUGUGGUUUAAUUCGAUGCCACGCGAAGAACCUUACCUGGUCUUGACAUCCACAGAACUUUCCAGAGAUGGAUUGGUGCCUUCGGGAACUGUGAGACAGGUGCUGCAUGGCUGUCGUCAGCUCGUGUUGUGAAAUGUUGGGUUAAGUCCCGCAACGAGCGCAACCCUUAUCCUUUGUUGCCAGCGGUUCGGCCGGGAACUCAAAGGAGACUGCCAGUGAUAAACUGGAGGAAGGUGGGGAUGACGUCAAGUCAUCAUGGC